CCUACGGGGGGCUGCAGUGGGGAAUAUUGGACAAUGGGGGCAACCCUGAUCCAGCCAUGCCGCGUGUGUGAAGAAGGCCCUCGGGUUGUAAAGCACUUUCAGUGAGGAAGAACGCCUGGUGGUUAAUACCCAUCAGGAAAGACAUCACUCACAGAAGAAGCACCGGCUAACUCCGUGCCAGCAGCCGCGGUAAUACGGAGGGUGCGAGCGUUAAUCGGAAUUACUGGGCGUAAAGCGCGCGUAGGUGGCUUGAUAAGCCGGUUGUGAAAGCCCCGGGCUCAACCUGGGAACGGCAUCCGGAACUGUCAAGCUAGAGGGCAGGAGAGGAAGGUAGAAUUCCCGGUGUAGCGGUGAAAUGCGUAGAGAUCGGGAGGAAUACCAGUGGCGAAGGCGGCCUUCUGGACUGACACUGACACUGUGGUGCGAAAGCGUGGGUAGCAAACAGGAUUAGAUACCCCAGUAGUC
rnacentral:rRNA from 1 species